rnacentral:misc_RNA from 1 species
AGCAAAACUAAUAUAACAACAAGAAGAUAACCAGUGUAAUCCCACGAGUGGGGUCUGGGGAGGGUACAGUGAACACAAACUUCAACCCUACCUUGGGAGGUAGAGAGGUGGUUUUCGAUAGAAAACAUUUUUCGAGUGUUUGUCUCUUCUGUAUGUUCUCAUCUUGAGGGAGCUCUAUUCGUAGACACAUCGACUAGAACGAAAUGUACCAUUACUGAAAAUCUG